rnacentral:rRNA from 1 species
UAACACGUAGGUAACCUGCCCAUGUGUCCGGGAUAACUGCUGGAAACGGUAGCUAAAACCGGAUAGGUAUACAGAGCGCAUGCUCAGUAUAUUAAAGCGCCCAUCAAGGCGUGAACAUGGGUGGACCUGCGGCGCAUUAGCUAGUUGGUGAGGUAACGGCCCACCAAGGCGAUGAUGCGUAGCCGGCCUGAGAGGGUAAACGGCCACAUUGGGACUGAGACACGACCCAA